UACGAAGGGGGCUAGCGUUGCUCGGAAUCACUGGGCGUAAAGCGCACGUAGGCGGAUUGUUAAGUCAGGUGUGAAAUCCUGGAGCUCAACUCCAGAACUGCCUUUGAUACUGGCGAGCUCGAGUCCGGGAGAGGUGAGUGGAACUGCGAGUGUAGAGGUGAAAUUCGUAGAUAUUCGCAGGAACACCAGUGGCGAAGGCGGCUCACUGGCCCGAUACUGACGCUGAGGCACGAAAGCGUGGGGAGCAAACAGG
rnacentral:rRNA from 1 species